GGCUUUGUGGUGUAAGAGCACAUAGAUUUGCAAAAUCUAAAGAAUUUUUAAAUUUAAGCUU
rnacentral:tRNA from 1 species